AUUGAACGCUGGCGGCAGGCCUAACACAUGCAAGUCGAACGAGCGGCGGACGGGUGAGUAAUGUCUGGGAAUCUGCCCGAUGGAGGGGGAUAACUACUGGAAACGGUAGCUAAUACCGCAUACCAUCGGAUGUGCCCAGAUGGGAUUAGCUAGUAGGUGGGGUAACGGCUCACCUAGGCGACGAUCCCUAGCUGGUCUGAGAGGAUGACCAGCCACACUGGAACUGAGACACGGCCCAGACUCCUACGGGAGGCAGCAGUGGGGAAUAUUGCACAAUGGGCGCAAGCCUGAUGCAGCCAUGCCGCGUGUAUGAAGAAGGCCUUCGGGUUGUAAAGUACUUUCAGCAGGGAGGCGUUACUCGCAGAAGAAGCACCGGCUAACUCCGUGCCAGCAGCCGCGGUAAUAC
rnacentral:rRNA from 1 species